rnacentral:rRNA from 1 species
GACUGGUGUCAGCCGCCGCGGUAAUACCAGCUCUCCGAGUGGUAGGGAUGAUUAUUGGGCUUAAAGCGUCCGUAGCCGGCUUAGCAAGUUUCCUGUUAAACCCAGCGACUCAAUCGUUGGAUCGCGGGAAAUACUACUAGGCUAGGAGGCGGGAGAGGUCAACGGUACUUCUGGGGUAGGGGUGAAAUCCUAUAAUCCCGGGAGGACCACCAGUGGCGAAGGCUGUUGACUAGAACGCGCUCGACGGUGAGGGACGAAAGCUGGGGGAGCGAACCGGAUUAGAUACCCGGGUAGUCCCAGCUGUAAACGAUGCGAGCUAGGUGUUGGAAUGGCUACGGGCCAUUUCAGUGCCGCAGGGAAGCCAUUAAGCUCGCCGCCUGGGGAGUACGGCCGCAAGGCUGAA